GGAUGUGAGGGCCAUCUGGCUGUGACCAACAUCUAUCACCGCACUGGUCGCCAGGGUUGAUUUGGCUGAUCUGGCUGGCUGGGCAGGUGUCUCCUUCCUCCCUCACUGUUCCAUGUGCGUCCCUCCCAAAGCUGCAUGCUCGGUUGCAGAGGAUGACCUUCCCCGAUAGAAGGAGGACAGUCCUUCAAGGGUAUAUGAGUAGCUGUGCUCCCCGACUGGAACCUCCAAACAAGUUUCAAGGUCGUCAUUUUAAGAGACCCUCAGGUAUCCAAGGUCAGUAGCUCAGUGCCCUGUAACAGUCUGGGUU
rnacentral:snRNA from 1 species